rnacentral:rRNA from 1 species
GACGAACGCUGGCGGCGCGCCUAACACAUGCAAGUCGAACGGAGCUUAAAGAGCUUGCUUUUUAAGCUUAGUGGCGAACGGGUGAGUAACGCGUGAGUAACCUGCCCUAGAGUGGGGGACAACAGUUGGAAACGACUGCUAAUACCGCAUAAGCCCACGGUACCGCAUGACACUGAGGGAAAAGGAUUUAUUCGCUUUAGGAUGGACUCGCGUCCAAUUAGCUAGUUGGUGAGGUAACGGCCCACCAAGGCGACGAUUGGUAGCCGGACUGAGAGGUCGAACGGCCAUAUUGGAACUGAGACACGGCCCAGACUCCUACGGGAGGCAGCAGUGGGGGAUAUUGCACAAUGGGGGAAACCCUGAUGCAGCGACGCCGCGUGGAGGAAGAAGGUUUUCGGAUUGUAAACUCCUGUCGUUAGGGGCGAUAAUGACGGUACCUAACAAGAAAGCACCGGCUAACUACGUGCCAGCAGCCGCGGUAAAACGUAGGGUGCAAGCGUUGUCCGGAAUUACUGGGUGUAAAGGGAGCGCAGGCGGGAAGACAAGUUGGAAGUGAAAACCAUGGGCUCAACCCAUGAAUUGCUUUCAAAACUGUUUUUCUUGAGUAGUGCAGAGGUAGAUGGAAUUCCCGGUGUAGCGGUGGAAUGCGUAGAUAUCGGGAGGAACACCAGUGGCGAAGGCGGUCUACUGGGCACCAACUGACGCUGAGGCUCGAAAGCAUGGGUAGCAAACAGGAUUAGAUACCCUGGUAGUCCAUGCCGUAAACG